GACGAACGCUGGCGGCGUGCUUAACACAUGCAAGUCGAGCGGAGCGGCGAACGGGUGAGUAACGCGUGAGUAACUGGCCCCCUCCCUGGGAUAACAGUUGGAAACGGCUGCUAAUACCGGCUAGUGGGGGAUGACUCGCGUCCUAUGAGAUUGUUGGUGGGGUAGUGGCCUACCAAGGCGACGCCGGGUAGCCGGCCUGAGAGUGCGACCGGCCACAUUGGGCGGGGUGACGGCCCAAAGUCUGUCGGGAGGCAGCAGUGGGGAAUAUUGCACAAUGGGGGAAACCCUGAUGCAGCACCGCCGCGUGCGGGAGGACGGCCUUCGUGUUGUAAACCGCUUUCAGCCAUGACGCGGUAUUGGCAGAAGAAGCACCGGCAAACUACGUGCCAGCAGCCGCGUAAUUC
rnacentral:rRNA from 1 species